rnacentral:rRNA from 1 species
UGUCCUACGGGGGGCAGCAGUCGAGAAUCAUUCACAAUGGGGGAAACCCUGAUGGUGCGACGCCGCGUGGGGGAAUGAAGGUCUUCGGAUUGUAAACCCCUGUCAUGUGGGAGCAAAUUAAAAAGAUAGUACCACAAGAGGAAGAGACGGCUAACUCUGUGCCAGCAGCCGCGGUAAUACAGAGGUCUCAAGCGUUGUUCGGAAUCACUGGGCGUAAAGCGUGCGUAGGCUGUUUCGUAAUUCGUGUGUGAAAGGCUCGGGCUCAAUCCGCGGCAGGCACCUGAUACUGCGAGCCUAGAGUAAUG